UAUUUUUUAAUGUAAAACUAGUCAAAUCUAUUUUAACUGCUUGGCUGCACAGCAAAACAAAUCAUCACAGAAAAAUUGAUUCAAGGAAAAAAAAAAAUAAAAAGCAAUUUGUAGCAAACUUUGGAAGCCAUAUUUCAUAAGCACCUCAAGAGCUUAACGAGCAAUGACUGUGCCACAACGGGCCAAUAAAAGUCCUUCAAGCAAUGAGCUGAACUCUAGGCAUCUCACUUAAUGCUCUUCCUCUUAACGUAUUCUGACUACUAGCCUUUCUUUCAUUGAGGAUAUGGACCUGUAUAUGUUAAACAAUCCUUGUGGGCAACAGGGCAAAUGUCAAGGCAAUUGACAACUUAUUUAAAGUAAGAUGCUUCACAGUCUCAGAAAUUUUGCCUAUUCCUACAAAUUGGAAGAUGAUUUCAACAGAAACUGACCUCUUCUGGCUGACUUAUACAUUAUACAGACACAUGGAUGCAAGGUGCGCUGGGUCUGGAUGUGCAAGCCGCAACUCUAUGCGAAAUGUAACUAGAAGAGUUUAGACUGGACAUUAGUAAGAUGCAUGAUUUGUAACAUGUAGCAGCGUUUAUACACCUGCAAUCUGAUGUCUUCAACUUGUAGCUUCUUCUGUAAGGGCUGUAUGAGGGGGCCAGCCACUCACUGUGUCAGGAGGUUAGUGAUGAGAGUGUGUGGAUACUACAAUAAUUGAGAAGCGCGCGUGUGCACGUGUGUGCGUGCUUGCGUGUCACAACAUUUGUACACGCGCGCGUGUGUGCACGCUCGGGGGGUGAGAAUUGAAUUUUUGUUUGAAUCGCUAAAUUUGUAUCCGCAUAAGUAGCGUGAACUAAGAAUUUCCAGGUCUGUUUGCUGCCAGUGCGUAUUCUCAAUGUUAAUAUAAAUAAAUAACAGAUUUAACUAUUACUGAAUAUUUAUACAAUGAAUCGACGAACAAGCAUCUCCUUGUUCAAGAUUUGUUUUUCAAAUCAACUACACUGUCCUUAUUGUUCCAGAAAAAAAUCCAGAAGACACAUCGCAGUCCGGAGGUCACUGUUCACCCUGCGGUCUUUGUACCAGACGCACAAAACCGCUUUUGACUGCUACAAGUUUAUGGAAACACCACCCCAUCCUUAUCGCUGAAGCUCUUUUAUAUUAUCAGCUAAUAGUCUGCAAAGUGUUGGGUGUAUCAUAAAAACUAUAAAGACGCAACAGUAGCCCUUUUAAAAAAGUUUUAAUGCAACCACAGAAGGGUUUAAAUAUCCGAUGUUCCUCAAGUUUAAUGUACAAUGAUAGCUCCAGAAAACUACUAUUUUCUGACAGCUAUUACGACUUUUCUAGUAAGUCUGACAUGUUAAAAAACCAAAGAUUUUUUUCUUGAACCUUCUGGUCUUGCCAGGAAGAUGUCGAUCAGGGUUUUCUAAUAAGGUCUGAUAAACCACAGCAUAGACGCCUCCUAACCACGCCUCUAACAAAGGCAUGUAGGUGGACAUUUUUCUAGAAAUCAACCAAACUUUUAAAUUGUGUUUCCAUGCUUGA